rnacentral:rRNA from 1 species
UGGCCGUAAACGAUGUGGACUUGGUGUUGGAAUGGCUCCGAGCUGCUCCAGUGCCGAAGGGAAGCUGUUAAGUCCACCGCCUGGGAAGUACGGUCGCAAGGCUGAAACUUAAAGGAAUUGGCGGGGGAGCACCACAACAGGUGGAGCCUGCGGUUUAAUUGGACUCAACGCCGGGAAGCUCACCGGAUAAGACAGCGGAAUGAUUGCCGGGCUGAAGACUCUGCAUGACUAGCUGAGAGGUGGUGCAUGGCGUAGACGUCU